AGUGUCAAUUUUUGGCUGCAAGUCAUUGAUAUCGAAGACAAGGAGAUCAAAGAACUAAUUGGAUUCCGGGUUUUUGUUAUUGCUGAGAGGCAUGAGUGGAGCAGGUGGUUUGAGUGGGAAAAUCCGGUCGAAGAUGGGCUGUCAGUGGGUAUGGGCGGCAAUGAUUGUGAGCCAUUUGUAGUAAAGGAGGAGGAUUUCAAGUUUCAUUCUAGGGUUGAUCCAAUAUCUUCUACGAGUUCGGGCGUGUUCGUGAACCUUAGCGCUGUUAUGCUUAGACUGUGUGAGCCGUUUUUGGAUGCAAAUUCAACAAAGAAAGACAUAAUUGACCCUAGAUACGUAUUUUAUGGUUCUUGAUUGGAUUUCAA